UACGUAGGGGGCUAGCGUUGCUCGGAAUUACUGGGCGUAAAGCGCACGUAGGCGGUUUCUUAAGUCAGGGGUGAAAUCCUGGAGCUCAACUCCAGAACUGCCUUUGAUACUGAGGAGCUUGAGUCCGGGAGAGGUGAGUGGAACUGCGAGUGUAGAGGUGAAAUUCGUAGAUAUUCGCAAGAACACCAGUGGCGAAGGCGGCUCCCUGGCCCGGUACUGACGCUGAGGUGCGAAAGCGUGGGGAGCAAACAGG
rnacentral:rRNA from 1 species